CGCGUGCUAGGCCGGGUCGCGGCCGGGUCCGCCCUGGACGUGGACCGCGCGGUGGCCGCCGCGCGGCGCGGUUUCGAGUCCGGGCGCUGGUCC
rnacentral:tRNA from 1 species